UACGGGGGGUGCAAGCGUUGUUCGGAAUUAUUGGGCGUAAAGGGUGCGUAGGCGGUCCUACAAGUCAGAGGUGAAAGGCUACGGCUCAACCGUAGUAAGCCUUUGAAACUGUAGGACUUGAGUGCAGGAGAGGAGAGUGGAAUUCCCAGUGUAGCGGUGAAAUGCGUAGAUAUUGGGAGGAACACCAGUUGCGAAGGCGGCUCUCUGGACUGUAACUGACGCUGAGGCACGAAAGCGUGGGGAGCGAACAGG
rnacentral:rRNA from 1 species